UGGCUAUAUUAAGUUGUAACACCAGUUCCUGUACAAUCACCAAAGUUAAGCAACAUUAAACCUGGUCAGUACCAAGAUGGGUGACCACUUGGGAAUACCAGGUGCUGUAAG